rnacentral:lncRNA from 1 species
UGGCGUCCGCAUUUCAUAGUCCGAACGGCAUGACAUUGUAUAUGUAAUUGGUGCCUUCUGUCAUGAAGGCCGUGUGCUUUCUGUCACUUAUGUCCAUGGGAAUUUGGUUGUAGCCGGAGUAAGCGUCCAUAAAGGAUAGGAACUUGUAGCCGAAGGAUUUGUCUACCAACUUGUCGAUAUUAGGAAGCGGAUAUGCAUCUUUUGGGCAGGCUUUGUUCAAAUCUAUGUAAUCAACACACAUUCGCUACUUUCCACACGCUUUCUUCACAAGGACCACGUUAGAGAGCCGUUGUGUGUAAUUGAUUUCAUAGAUAAAUUUAUCCUGCAACAACCCCUAUAUUAUUUCUAUGGCGGCUUGUGCCUUUUCUGGAGAUUGUGUAGCCUCUUUUGACUCACAAGUUUGGCUUCUGUGUUUACGUUUAACUUGUGGCAAGUGACGCUUGGGUCUGUUCCUAGUAAUUCUUCAGGGGAGCAUGCGAAUAGUCCGUGUAGUCCACACACAUUCGUGAAUAGGUUGGCGUUGGCUAGCAAACAUCCAAUGAGGUCAUUCUCUACUGUUGGUGGAAGGUUGGCCCCGAUCUUGACUUUCCUGGCUAGGUUGUCGUCCAACUGAAUAGAUUUGAACUCCCCGUCGAGGGUAGGACGCUCGAAAGGUAACUUUGCUUCCAAAGGGAAAGGCGUCUCUUGUCCUUUUUCGCCUUUGGGGUACUUCUGUUCUCGACAGGCGUCAAGGUCGGCAUUAGUGCAACUUGGUAUGGGCC